UAUUCUGGGUCCCUUAGCAGAAAGCUUGAAUGAUUGAGUUACAGGUUGACUUGUAUAUUGUUCACCUUCAGUGAUGCUGUGGAGCAGAAGUAAUUUUGGGAUACAUCUUCAUAAUUCUGUUCAGGACUUAGAAUGUUUCAGAAUCGUGUUCCUGUUUGUCUUUGAGAGCUUCGCGAAAGCAUCUGGAAAUUUGCUUAAGGCAAAUGAAGCAACUCGUUUGUGAAUGUACAGUGGUUCUGUUGCAGAGUGAGAAAAUGUCUCCUCUCUGAAUCUUGUCCUUAACACUCUACCCAGUUGAAUGUGCCUGAUGAUAAUCUAAGAGGAAGCCAGAAACACAUGGACAGUGUAAACUCUACUAGCUGAUAUGUACUCAGACUGAGAUUAUGGACUCCCCUCAACCUUCAAAACUUAGAUCUGGAGAAACUGUUUGCAUCUACCUUUUGGAAAGCAUCUCUUGAAAAUGGAAAAGGCCUCUUAGAUCACCACGUCUGCUGUCCUCAGGGAUAAUGCAAGAUGAUACCUUUUUCCUCUGUCACAUCCAGCUGAAUGUGAAAGCCUUGCCUGACAGAACUUCCAUCAUAUCCCAUAGCUCGAGAUGUCUCCCUGGGAGAAAAAUAAAAGAAUCUCACAAUGCACUCAAAUGCAGAGUCUCCAUCUUAUGGCUCUUGUGCUACAAUAAAUUUGCAGGAUAGAUGGGAAACAUGUGGUGGAGGGGGAAAAGGAUAUUAUGACCUGACCAGAUCACCACAGGACAACAGUUCCUUGUAUAAGGACCCCCUACUCUGAGCAUGCAUCUGACCCUAUAGGGAUGCAGCUUCAACAGAAAGGUUGCCAACUAGAGGGGAACUGUCAACUCCAAAGGAAAGCAGGUGGGAGGCAACCUGGUGGAAAGUUUGGAAACUGCUGCCACAAAUGACAGAGCUCUGAUCCCUGUGCUUUUUAACAGCAAUUAAAGGAAGACCAAUACUAUGAUAAUACUGUUGAAUUAAUGAGAAGAAAAGCGAGUGAUACCAGAUUAAUGACUUAAUAGGCAAAAUUGUAAUACUGUUAUUGAUGAUCACUGUUUUAUGAAAGGCUCAACACUGAUGAUAAAACUUCUCCUGUAAAGUGUAGUAAUGAGCAGUUUUGGGGCAUAUGUCAGAAAUG